UACGUAGGCAGCGAGCGUUGUUCGGAAUUACUGGGCGUAAAGAGUGUGUAGGCGGUGCUCCCAGUCUGUUGUGAAAUCUCCCGGCUUAACUGGGAGGGUGCAGCGGAAACUAGAGUGCUAGAGGGUGGGAGAGGUAAGCGGAAUUCCUGGUGGUAGCGGUGGAAUGCGCAGAUAUCGGGAGGAACACCCGUAGCGAAGGCGGCACUCUGGGCCGGUACUGACGCUGAGGAGCGAAAGCGUGGGGAGCAAACAGG
rnacentral:rRNA from 1 species